UCUGGGAAACUGCCUGAUGGAGGGGGAUAACUACUGGAAACGGUAGCUAAUACCGCAUAACGUCGCAAGACCAAAGAGGGGGACCUUCGGGCCUCUUGCCAUCGGAUGUGCCCAGAUGGGAUUAGCUAGUAGGUGGGGUAACGGCUCACCUAGGCGACGAUCCCUAGCUGGUCUGAGAGGAUGACCAGCCACACUGGAACUGAGACACGGUCCAGACUCCUACGGGAGGCAGCAGUGGGGAAUAUUGCACAAUGGGCGCAAGCCUGAUGCAGCCAUGCCGCGUGUAUGAAGAAGGCCUUCGGGUUGUAAAGUACUUUCAGCGGGGAGGAAGGGAGUAAAGU
rnacentral:rRNA from 1 species